AAUAGAUACCCUGGUAGUCCAUGCCGUAAACGUUGGGAACUAGAUGUAGGGACCAUUCCACGGUUUCUGUGUCGCAGCUAACGCAUUAAGUUCCCCGCCUGGGGAGUACGGCCGCAAGGCUAAAACUCAAAGGAAUUGACGGGGGCCCGCACAAGCGGCGGAGCAUGCGGAUUAAUUCGAGGCAACGCGAAGAACCUUACCAAGGCUUGACAUAUACGAGAACGCCCUAGAAAUAGGGAACUCUUUGGACACUCGUAUACAGGUGGUGCAUGGUUGUCGUCAGCUCGUGUCGUGAGAUGUUGGGUUAAGUCCCGCAACGAGCGCAACCCUCGUUCUAUGUUGCCAGCACGUCAUGGUGGGAACUCAUAGGAGACUGCCGGGGUCAACUCGGAGGAAGGUGGGGAUGACGUCAAAUCAUCAUGCCCCUUAUGUCUUGGGCUUCACGCAUGCUACAAUGGCCGGUACAAAGGGCUGCAAUACCGCAAGGUGGAGCGAAUCCCAAAAGCCGGUCUCAGUUCGGAUUGAGGU
rnacentral:rRNA from 1 species